AAAACAACUACGUAGGGGGCAAGCGUUGUCCGGAAUUAUUGGGCGUAAAGGGCGCGUAGGCGGAUUUUUAAGUCUGGUGUGAAAGAUCAGGGCUCAACCCUGAGAGUGCAUCGGAAACUGGGGAUCUUGAGGACAGGAGAGGAAAGUGGAAUUCCACGUGUAGCGGUGAAAUGCGUAGAUAUGUGGAGGAACACCAGUGGCGAAGGCGGCUCACUGGCUCGAUACUGACGCUGAGGUGCGAAAGUGUGGGGAGCAAACAGG
rnacentral:rRNA from 1 species